CUUAACUAUCACUUGUCGUUCGUCAUCACUACUGUCACUUUUUGAUUAAAAUGACUGAAAUGUCUCUCUUCCGCUGGGUCGACUGCUGCAUCACCGACGACAACGUCCCUUCCACGGCCCUUCCAGUCGGUACCGAUACCCAUUUACAUAGGAAGGGCACACUUUGAGAACACUUUAUCUACUGUCCACGUCAUCCCAGAACACAAAAUAGCCCAUCUGCCUCACAAUGGGAAAACACAUUGCGUUCAUAAUUACCAAAUUUUGUGCUUGAACCAUUUCAAGUGGGUCUCAGAUCAUGACGGCAGAGUACAAGGGGCGGUAAAAACUGGUUCUAAUAAGAACGGUGUGCCUCUGUUUCUAGGCAGAGUGUUCCACGAGGGGUCCUGGAUUGUCGGAAUGAUAAAUCCAAGAUAUGAUACUUGCUUCUACCCUUACAAGGGCAAAUCUUUAGAAGCGAACAAACACGAAGCCCUGGUUGGUCACUUCUAUGAAGAGUAAAUGCGAGUUUUUUACCAAGAAGAAGUUUCGUCUAUGAAUUUGAUUGCUUGUAACACUGUUUUAAAUUUAUAAUACAUUUAUUUUAAGACAAAA